CCUACGGGAGGCAGCAGUGAGGAAUAUUGGUCAAUGGGCGCGAGUCUGAACCAGCCAAGUAGCGUGAAGGAUGACUGCCCUAUGGGUUGUAAACUUCUUUUAUAAAGGAAUAAAGCGAGGCACGUGUGCCUUUUUGCAUGUACUUUAUGAAUAAGGAUCGGCUCACUCCGUGCCAGCAGCCGCGGUAAUACGGAGGAUCCGAGCGUUAUCCGGAUGUAUUGGGUUGAAAGGGAGCGUAGAUGGGUUGUUAAGUCAGUUGUGAAAGUUUGCGGCUCAACCGUAAAAUUGCAAUUGAUACUGGCAGUCUUGAGUACAGUUGAGGUAGGCGGAAUUCGUGGUGUAGCGGGGAAAUGCUUAGAUAUCACGAAGAACUCCGAUUGCGAAGGCAGCUUACUAAACUGCGACUGACAUUGAUGCUCGAAAGUGUGGGUAUCAAACAGGAUUAGAUACCCUUGUAGUC
rnacentral:rRNA from 1 species